UACAGAGGUCCCCAAGCGUUGUUCGGAUUCACUGGGCGUAAAGGGUGCGUAGGUGGUGAGGUAAGUCGGAUGUGAAAGCUCGGAGCUCAACUCCGAAAUGGCAUUGGAAACUACCUUGCUCGAGGGUUGGAGGGGGGACUGGAAUACUUGGUGUAGCAGUGAAAUGCGUAGAUAUCAAGUGGAACACCAGUGGCGAAGGCGAGUCCCUGGACAACUCCUGACACUGAGGCACGAAAGCUAGGGGAGCAAACAGGAUUAGAACCUACCGUUCGUAGUCCAAGACC
rnacentral:rRNA from 1 species